GACGAACGCUGGCGGCGUGCCUAAUACAUGCAAGUAGAACGCUGAAGGAGGAGCUUGCUUCUCUGGAUGAGUUGCGAACGGGUGAGUAACGCGUAGGUAACCUGCCUGGUAGCGGGGGAUAACUAUUGGAAACGAUAGAUAAUACCGCAUAAGAGUAGAUGUUGCAUGACAUUUGCUUAAAAGGUGCAAUUGCAUCACUACCAGAUGGACCUGCGUUGUAUUAGCUAGUUGGUGGGGUAACGGCUCACCAAGGCGACGAUACAUAGCCGACCUGGGAGGGGGAACGGGCAACAUGGGAAUGAGAAAAGGCCCAGACUUCUACGGGAGGCAGCAGGAGGGAAUCUUCGGCAAUGGACGGAAGUCUGACCGAGCAACGCCGCGGGAGUGAAGAAGGGUUUCGGAUCGUAAAGCUCGUUUGUAAGAGAAGAAAGAGGGUGAGAGUGGAAAGUUCACACUGUGACGGUAUCUUACCAGAAAGGGACGGCUAACUACGUG
rnacentral:rRNA from 1 species